GCCCGGCUGGCGCAAUGGUAGCGCGCAAGACUUCUAUCUUGAAUAGCAUUCAAUCUUGAGGCUGUGGGUUCGAGUCCCACGUCGGGUG